UUAAACUGGUAUAAUAAAUAAGGGCUUACUACUUCGACCAAACAUCAUUUAUUGGAAUAUAGCAGAACACGUCCCUGACAUUUGAUAGAUGCAGGUGGGUUCAGCCACUAUAUAAUUUAUCGCCCUAAUAUCGCUUCUAAAUCUUUCCCUUCAGCGGAGGAGUCAGACUGUCUGACAGAGUAUGAGGAGGACGGGAUGGACACUGUGAGAGAGGAGGAAGGACAAGAGGAGGAAGAAGAGGCAGAAGACCCAGAGGACCAGUCCCCUGGAGAGUGGGGACCGAAUGGAAUCUUCCAGACUGAUGAGGAGAAAUCGGUGAGGCGACGUCGGAAACUCACCAGUGACGCCUCCGAAGUCUCUGACUGCUGACAACAAGCCACAGUGGAAGAUUUUGAAGUGGAUCAUCAAGGGCCCAAACAAAAAAAA